GCUCGAAUGGUGACCCGACACGAAGGACUUAAAAUCCUUUGGCCAUUGCGGCUGUGCGGGUUCAAGUCCCGCUUCGAGUACGA
rnacentral:tRNA from 1 species